rnacentral:rRNA from 1 species
GCUCAACCUGGGAACUGCAUCCGAUACUGGCAGGCUAGAGUGCAAUAGAGGGGGGUAGAAUUCCAGGUGUAGCGGUGAAAUGCGUAGAUAUCUGGAGGAAUACCGGUGGCGAAGGCGGCCCCUGGAUUGACACUGACGCUGAGGUGCGAAAGCGUGGGUAGCAAACAGGAUUAGAUACCCUGGUAGUCCACGCCGUAAACGAUGUCUACUAGCUGUCGGGGCACUUGUUGUCUGGUAGCGCAGCUAACGCACUAAGUAGACCGCCUGGGGAGUACGGCCGCAAGGUUAAAACUCAAAUGAAUUGACGGGGGCCCGCACAAGCGGUGGAGCAUGUGGUUUAAUUCGACGCAACGCGAAGAACCUUACCUACUCUUGACAUCCAGGGAACUUUCCAGAGAUGGAUUGGUGCCUUCGGGAACCCUGACACAGGUGCUGCAUGGCUGUCGUCAGCUCGUGUCGUGAGAUGUUGGGUUAAGUCCCGCAACGAGCGCAACCCACGUUUCUAGUUGCCAGCAUUCAGUUGGGCACUUUAGAGAGACUGCCGGUGACAAACCGGAGGAAGGUGUGGAUGACGUCAAGUCAGCAUGCCCCUUACGUCCUGGGCUACACACGUACUACAAUGCUUCGGACAGAGGGUUGCCAGCCCGCGAGGGUGCGCUAAUCCCGUAAACCGAGGCUCAGUUCAGAUUGCAGGCUGCAACUCGCCUGCAUGAAGGCGGAAUCGCUAGUAAUCGCCGGUCAGCAUACGGCGGUGAAUACGUUCCCGGGCCUUGUACACACCGCCCGUCACACCAUGGGAGUUGGCCACGCCCGAAGUUGUUA